GAUAGGUUAGUUCAGUGGUAGAACGUUCGGCUCUGGGACCGAAUGGACGCAGGUUCGAGCCCUGCACCUAUCGACCA
rnacentral:tRNA from 3 species